rnacentral:rRNA from 1 species
UACGUAGGGGGCUAGCGUUGUCCGGAAUCAUUGGGCGUAAAGAGCGUGUAGGCGGCCAGACAAGUCUGCUGUGAAAACUCGAGGCUCAACCUCGAGCUGUCGGUGGAAACUGUCUGGCUAGAGUCCGGAAGAGGAGAGUGGAAUUCCUGGUGUAGCGGUGAAAUGCGCAGAUAUCAGGAAGAACACCUAUGGCGAAGGCAGCUCUCUGGGACGGUACUGACGCUGAGACGCGAAAGCGUGGGGAGCGAACAGG